CAAUAGCGUAUAUUAAAGCUGUUGCGGUUAAAAAGCUCGUAGUUGGAUUUCUGUCAAGGACAACUGGUCCGCCCCUCGGGUGAGCACAUAGUUUGGUCUUGGCAUCUUGUUGGAAACUGUUGCUGCACUUGGUUGUGUGGCGCAGUGUCCAGCACUUUCACUUUGAGGAAAUUGGAGUGUUUCAAGCAGGCACAUGCCUUUGGACACAGUAGCAUGGAAUAAUUAGAUUGGGCUUUUGCUCCAACUUGUCGGUUUCUGGAGCUGAGGUGAGAAUUAAUGGGGAUUGUUGGGGGCAUCCGAAUUUAGCCGUCAGGGGUGAAAUUCUUGGAUCUGCUAAAGACGGACAACUGCGAAAGCGUUUGCCCAGGAUGUUUUCAUUGA
rnacentral:rRNA from 1 species